ACCACAGUGCAGGAUAUCAGCUGCCGACGGAUUAAGGCAUCAAUAUUUCGCAGACAUACCACCGCAAGUUUAUGAUCUCCCAGACCAGGCCUCUAUAUUCACAAUUCCUGCUUGUAAACUUAGUCCAGAGACCUACAAUCUCCCCAUGUCUGUGAUGAAGGCAGCAGCCAAACUGCGACGUUAACUGUGAUACAACAAUCUAGGCCACCUCCCCUCCACCAUACACGAUUGAUUCUCAUUUUAAACUGAUGCUGUUGUCUAGAUGAUACGUUUGUACAUUUACACCUCGACGUCUGCUCCGGCCAUCAUGUAAAAACGACAUCCAUCCACGGCUGCUCGGAAAGCGGCAUGAUUCUCGUAGAGGAUGGUGCCCUCGGAGCAUCGGAGCGAUCACGUUCAACUGCAGCACUGGACAGAUAAUGCUUUGUUGGAACUUUCGCGUGUCUAUGGGAACAUUCCCGCCCCCCCCCUCCUCCCUCCCUGUCUGGGAAAUGCACUGUUCUGCCAGAAAAAACAAAGGAUGGGAAUGCGUGUGUCCGCUUGAGGUUUCUAGCACGUGUGUCUCAAAUUCGGAGUGUGUGUGUGGGUGUUUUUAAUUUAUUUAUUCUGCGGGUGUCUAUAUCUGUGCAGUUGGGGGCUACUGGAGUUGUGCCAUGUGAGUGUACAGUACGUAUUUCUUUGCUGUUGCUACUCUUGCAUCCAGCUUAUUAUUUAAGGAGGCUGUUGUUAAAUAGCGUACGGUUUGGAGACAAUUCACUGUGGAAGCUCUCUGUCUCUAGGCGAGAUCUCUACAUACAUAUAUAGUUGCAGUUCAGUGAAACGCUCUCGGACGUGUUCGGUGUCUCACGAUGUCCUCCUGAGCAAGCUGAGCCGCUGACGGAAGGAAAAAAGAAAGCCUGCCAUACAAGCUCCAUCCAGUGUUUCAGAAACCCAGGGCCCGUUAUUUUUGUGACGCCAUACUACGUGGCACCUUUUUGACAGAGCUGUAAGCCCUGCAUUUAAUCUGUCAGCGCCGAGCAAAAAAUUUCCGCACAACUGAGAAACGACUGUUUUUGUGUACACCACACUGUAUUGAACACAUUGUUUGGUCUAUCUUCCUGAGAAGGAACUUUGAAUGAUGUUCAAAAUGGAAAUGUUAUAGCGUGUCAGCAACACAUGUAAUAUCCUGCCAUAUCUGGGUCAUGCCCUACUCUAGCACCGAAAAUUGAUUGUCCUAUUUUGCGUACGUGGAAUAGUUUAAGUUCCGUCCGACGCAUGUAACAUACCCGGUGUCAGUCGCAACGGCAAUGCGGUAUUCCAAGAGGCCAGCUGUACAUACAUUUAUAUUUUUUAAAGGUAGUUUACUUUUAUUUAUUGCGGACUUUACUCGCAAUGCCAUGUAAGCGAUUGCAGUAAAGCUCAUUCCGGCCUUAUUCUUAGAAUUUUAUCGUGAGGGGUGUCAUUAUUUCUGAAGAAUAGGUAUAAAAUGAGGUGAUUAUGUUAAGAAUCGUGCUAAUGUGCAGUGAGCAUUAAAUACGAGGGGUGUCCAGCAAGUAAGUUCCGAUUAGCUAUUAGAAAACAAUGGAAACUCGCUUUUAAAAUGUUUUUAUUUUUCACUGGGUUACGCAUAUCUCAACUACCUCUCUAUGCAGUUUCCACUGUUAUUGAGGCACUGGUCAUAGUGAGGCAUCAGUUUUUGCAUCCCUGUAUCGUUGGAUGAAUCUGAAGUGUGGUGGACUAGUAUGUCACUGCUUCCUUCACAUAAUCGUUUUCAUGCCUGCGAAAACUGCGGCCUCGACGGAAACGUUUUCAGCGUCUGUUCUUGCAAACUGUUCCUUCGACCACGUGACAAAGUGUCGUCCACUCACAAGGCGUGGGUCCACGUUGAACGCAGAACCAACGCCGCCUAGGUAGAGAAGGCCUGCUCAAUGCCUCCUCUCCCCCCUUCGCCACGUGGACACACAAAGUCAGAAUUCGUCGGCUACAGCGAUUCGCCGUUCUGCGAAUUCACGAACCUACAAAUGACUGCAACGAGCUUCGCAAAUGUGUACCUAAAAGUUGGCUACGGUUGGCUGCGGCCGUUGAAAACACAGUCCCGAUUGGCUGACUAUUGGGAAGCAGGCUUUCUCUAUCUAGUUGGUGUUGCAAGAACCCCCUUAUUUGGGAGAGGGACCAAGUGACGUCACUUCACGGGCAGUAGGGGAGCUGUCAAACAUUUUAAAUCUGAAAAUAAAAAUAAAAACAUGCAUCAGCACUAUCUAGCUCAAAAUGGCGUCUAUGACUCUCUAGCGGACAAAUGAAUUUACAGGUAAGCCUACAAUGCCGACUGCAGUCCAGUAGCGCCAGUAUUCGCGAACGGAACUUACUUCCUGGACCUGCGCCUCGCACGUUGAGUACGUUGUUUUCUUAGACUGGGUAAUGCUGGAUUUAAGUUACGUUAUAGUCAUAUAUAGAUUAUGCGGAAAAUUGUGCUUCUGGUAGACCUCAAUAAGGCAGUGAUAACCACGACAAAAAAAAAAAGAAAUGCUCGCUUUGACACUGGACAGAGUUACACAUAAAAUGUGCUAUCAAAGAUGGUACCCCACUGUACUGUACUGGAUGAAACAUUUUUUGUCUCUGUAGCUGUAUGUAUGAUAUUUCUGCAGGAUACAGGAUUUUCAGAACCACUA